AACAGCUCAAUACUGCAUUUCUAGGGCCUGCUGUAUGUAGGGUCUCCAUCCCAAGUUGUACAACUCCCUGUUUCAGUAUGCAGCCGAUAUAAACACUGCUUGGAUUGUGUUUUGGCAAGGGAUCCUUAUUGCGCGUGGUCUGAGUCUUUUGAGAAGUGUGUUCCAGUGGCUAAUCAAACAGGAGACUUGCGGGAUUUAAUUCAGAGUGUUAAAAAUGGUGAUGCUUCCAAAUGUCCUAAAAUAGGAAAUAAUGUCAAAAACUGUCCCGUUAUCAUUGGCAACAGUGUUCAUCUUAAAUGCGCACCCAUGUCCAACCUGGCUAGGAUGGUGUGGAAGUUUAAUGGGAGCAGUCUUCAGGCAGAAGAGUCUAAAUACCUGCUUUAUGAUGGAGGAAUAGUCAUAUUUAAUGUGACAGUGGCUGAUGCUGGAUUUUAUGACUGUCAUUCUGUAGAGAGAGCUAAUGGGAAAGAAUUCCCUGUUUCUGUGGCUAGCUACGUUCUUUAUACCCAACAGGACAGCAUUUUCAUUAUUACUAAGAAUUACACCACAAAUCAACCAAAUGCAGACACAACUCUGAAGGUUAAAUCUUUGGUAUCAUCUUCCUUGCUGAAUGACCCAGCAAAACAAAAAUCCCUGGAAGACCAGAAAGAGAAGCUUAUUUUAAAAUUCUUGGGAGCUGGAUUUGCGCUCCUUUUUUCUUCCUUGCUGGUUUGGAACUUUUACAAAGGCCAUCUGUCUGUGCCUUGGAAGAGCAGAGAAAAAAGCUCAAAAACAGCAAAUGCAGAUUGUUUGCCAGGUCCAACGUUGGCUACAGAGGGGUCGGGGGCUAUGAGGAAAAGUUCAGCCACGCGAACUAACACCUCCACUGUUAAUGAAUCAGUACCACUUGUGAGCUUUCCUUCAGAAGAGGAACGCAGCGCUAAUGUACAACACAACACAAGUCUCACAAAGAGAUCUGGGACUUGCAGCUCACAAAGCUGUUUGGUUGAGGAUGAGACGAUGUUUCCUAUUGCGGAAUGUGGAAUGUAAAGUUUGAGUAGGAAUCACAAGCCCAAAAUCUAGUGAGCUAAGUUGCUAAACAUAAAAUCAUUUUCAGUUGCUGCUUUUGAAAAAGAUUGUUACAUCAGUUUUUGGUAUUUGUUUAACAUGUGUUGCAAGAA